rnacentral:rRNA from 1 species
GUGAGUGAUGAAGGCUUCGGGUUGUAAAACUCUGUCUUCUGUGAAGAACAAGCCUAUGAAGAGAACGCUUAGGCCCUGACGGUAACAGAGGAGGAAGCCCCGGCUAACUACGUGCCAGCAGCCGCGGUAAUACGUAGGGGGCAAGCGUUGUCCGGAAUCACUGGGCGUAAAGCGCGCGCAGGCGGCUGUCUACGUCCGGGGUGAAAGCCCAGAGCUCAACUCUGGGACUGCCUUGGAUACGGGAUAGCUUGAGGAUCGGAGAGGCAAGGGGAAUUCCACGUGUAGCGGUGAAAUGCGUAGAGAUGUGGAGGAACACCUGUGGCGAAGGCGCCUUGCUGGCCGAUUUCUGACGCUGAGGCGCGAAAGCGUGGGGAGCAAACAGGAUUAGAUACCCUGGUAGUCCACGCCGUAAACGAUGAGUGCUAGGUGUUGGGGGGUACCACCCUCAGUGCCGAAGCUAACGCAUUAAGCACUCCGCCUGGGGAGUACGGUCGCAAGACUG